rnacentral:rRNA from 1 species
UCGGGAAUUUUGGGCAAUGGGUGAGAGCCUGAUCCAGCCAUGCCGCGUGCAGGAAGAAGGCGUUAUGCGUUGUAAACUGCUUUUGCCAGGGGAUAAAAAGACCGUGCGCGGUUAAUUGAAGGUACCUGGUGAAUAAGCCACGGCUAACUACGUGCCAGCAGCCGCGGUAAUACGUAGGUGGCAAGCGUUGUCCGGAUUUAUUGGGUUUAAAGGGUGCGUAGGUGGCCCUGUAAGUCAGUGGUGAAAUAUCUCAGCUUAACUGAGAGGGUGCCAUUGAUACUGCAGGGCUUGAGUACAGAUGAGGUAGGCGGAAUUGACGGUGUAGCGGUGAAAUGCAUAGAUAUCGUCAAGAACACCGAUAGCGAAGGCAGCUUACCAAGCUGUAACUGACACUGAGGCACGAAAGUGUGGGGAUCAAACAGGAUUAGAUACCCACGUAGUCCCUGAGCGGGCUGGCAAGGCGCAU